rnacentral:rRNA from 1 species
AAUACCGCGGCCCUUUAAAAUCUUUCAGUGGGCAGAUUAGACUUUAAAUUAUAAUCAAAAAGACAUGUUUUUGUUAAACAGGCGAACAUUAAUUUGCCAAGUUCCUUAAUUUAACCUUUCAAUUAAUUUAUUUUAAACAAUUAAAUAUACUAAUUUUAUCAUUAUUUUAAUUUUUAUAUAAUUUUAAAAAUUAUUUUAAUAAAAACUUAAAUUAAUAAAAAUUAUUUUUAAUUUAAAAUAAAUUAUAACAUUUUCAUAAAUAAUGACUAUUUCUAAGCCUAUAUUUUUUAAACUAAAAAAUUAUUAUAAAAUUUAUUUUAAAGCUUAUCCCUUAAAAUAUUAAUUAUUAAUAAUAAUUUAUUAAUUAAAUAAAUAAUUACUAUUAAUAAUCUAAAUUUAAUUUAUUUCUUAAAAAACUAGAUAUAUUUAAAAACGAAUAACAUUUCAUUUCUAAUUUAUUAUUUUACAUUUUUAUGAAACAAAAAAUUAAAUAAUAAAUUAACUCUUUUAAAUUCGAGAAAAAUUAAAUUUUUAACUUUUAAUUAAUAAACCCUGAUACACAAGGUACAAUAUAUAAAAUUUACUUUUAAUUUAAUAUUUUUUCAUUUAUUUCAAUAUUCUUUUACAAUACUAAUUAACUAUUAUAUAAAUUAUUUGAUCUAUAUUCUAUACAAAAAAACCUUAAUUUAAAAUUAAUUUUAUUAAAUAAAUUAAUAAACAAAAAAAAAUUAAUAAAUCUUUAUUAUCAAAUUAAAUUGAAUUUCACAAUAUACUUUUCAAUGUAAAUGAAAUGCUUUACUUUUCAAGCUCUAAUUUGUCUUUCUAGAUACACCUUC